UAUGACCCCCAGUGCCCUGAAGCUCUGCACUAGGCCCGGGGAGAUGGGUGACCCAGCCUCGAAAUCUCUCUGGGCACCUCCCAUACUUUUUUCCAGCCUGUCUGUUCUUAUUGCAGGAUCCAGGCUGAGGGUGAGGGGCUGGUGAAUAGGGUACUGGCGCCCCCUGAAGGUCUCCUUUCCCCAUCGUAUGAGAAGAUCCUGAAGCUCACGGCUGAUGCCAAGUUUGGUGCAUCAGAGUCAGGCGAUGUGAAGGCCACAGUGGCAGUGCUGAGUUUCAUCCUCUCCAGCGCGGCCAAGCACAGCGUCGAUGGCGAAUCCUUGGCCAGUGAACUGCAGCAGCUGGGGCUGCCCAAAGGUAUGGGUUGUGGGUGGGCACCUGGGUAGCCUGUGUGGGCUAAGGGCUGCUGCCA
rnacentral:lncRNA from 1 species